rnacentral:lncRNA from 1 species
AAGAAAUGUGGUUUCAAUACUGAAAAUUUUCGUCUUAACCUUAAAAUAUAUUUUCAUCUUUGAUUAUAAAAUUUAAAGCUUCAAAAAUAUUGUAUAACGAGCAGAUCUAUGAAAACUAGAAAAUCUUGAAAAUUGACAGUCCAAAAAUAUGUUACAAGAUGCACUAUUUCCAAAACUUGAAAUCCUUUUUUUUUUCUCAUGUCCAUGUAUCUUGAUGUCGAGAUGAUCAAUUUAACGAUAUUUGGGCAUCAAAACAACCUCUUCUAGUGAAAUUUUUGAAGUAAGCUCUAAUUUGUUUAUUUAGAGCCUCGGAUCUUUAUAAUCUUUUUCCUAAUAAAUUCGC